GAAGCGAGACCUUAACACCCUCCUCCCUCCAUCGUCCACUUGAAAACAGAUGAUGAGUGUUUUAAUUAGUUGAAGAGUUCUUCCAACCACAUUUGUGAUAAGUCCACAUGCUCUUAAUUGGGAGAAUAUGGUCUCAGCCAAUUAACCAAGGUCUUCUACUUAGUCAACUCCGACCCUCCUCCCUCCAUCAUCCACUUGAAAACAGAUG
rnacentral:lncRNA from 1 species